rnacentral:lncRNA from 1 species
CAUUACAGGCCCUCAAUGUCUACCAGUUGGAUGACUGAAAGUGACUGGGGCAUCCGCCUGUCAUGGGUAUGAAAGCCAGCUUCACCAUUCUCUACCAGCUUGCUCCAGUCAAUGUUCUGGGUGGCUCACAGGAAUUAAUCAUGGCAAUAACACCAUGAGCAGGGUCACUGUGAACUGUUAUGCAGGCAUGUUCUGGGAAAGGGUCCACUUGGCUGAGAGGCAUGCUUCUUGCCAAAUCAUGAGUGCAGGUGUGGAGCUGUGUCCACUUGGAGGAAGGAAGACCUUUUGCUAAUGCAUAUCCAGAUAUCAGCUGCUACAGGGCAGAGCUUUUUGUCUAUCCUGUUCCCUGAUGGAUCCCAAGUGCCUGAUCCAGUGCCUUGCACAGAUCUCUCAGGCUGCCCUCACCCCUGGGGGAAGUGGGGGAUGCAUUUGGCAGAGCUGGCCUCAGGAGGUGGAUGGCCUUGCUUCAGGUAAUCCCAAGUCCCAUCUGAGUCUCAAUUUUCUGAUCAGUGAGAGGCCAUCACCUCCUUAAUUUCCAUUCUGAGCCUCCUCCAUCUAUCCCAGACCUGGAAGAACCUCCAACCUUCUUAUGACACUCUCAAUUCUGCAGAAUGUGGAUUUCAUCUUAGGUCACAUGGCUCCCAGAAUCCUCAGAUCAGUUUAUCACAGUUAAUUGUGUCCAUGGAGAAGUGGGAAGAAUAAUGGCUUCAGUUUUAAUCCCCAAUCCUCUAGUUACUCACUGUGUGACCUUAGCAAGUUUUUUCACCUCUGCAAGACUCAGUUUUCCCAUCUGUAAAAUGUGCAUAAUAAAACUUGCCAUUUAUUUUUGUUGUAGAAUUUAUAUGAAAUAUAAGUGCUCUUUCCCUACCAGAACCUGAGUUCUCUAAG